GUGUCAGCAGCCGCGGUAAAACCAGCACCUCAAGUGGUCAGGAUGAUUAUUGGGCCUAAAGCAUCCGUAGCCGGCUCUGUAAGUUUUCGGUUAAAUCUGUACGCUCAACGUACAGGCUGCCGGGAAUACUGCAUAGCUAGGGAGUGGGAGAAGUAGACGGUACUCGGUAGGAAGUGGUAAAAUGCUUUGAUCUAUCGAUGACCACCUGUGGCGAAGGCGGUCUACUAGAACACGUCCGACGGUGAGGGAUGAAAGCUGGGGGAGCAAACCGGAUUAGAUACCCGGGUAGUCCCAGCUGUAAACUAUGCAAACUCAGUGAUGCAUUGGCUUGUGGCCAAUGCAGUGCUGCAGGGAAGCCGUUAAGUUUGCCGCCUGGGAAGUACGUACGCAAGUAUGAAACUCAAAUAAAUUGACGG
rnacentral:rRNA from 1 species